UCUAACAUGUGCGCGAGUCAUUGGGAAUUUUUAUAAACCUAAAGGCGCAAUGAAAGUGAAGGUGAGAGCCAAAAUUUUUUGGCACUUGCUCAGGGAAGAAGGUUUACUGGUCCUUGUCUAACGACAAGUUCAACCGGACCCGCAUUCCCGGGGCGUCUCGCAUUCCCGGGGCGUCUCGUUCUCAUUGCGAGAUGAGGCGCACCUAGAGCGUACACGUUGGGACCCGAAAGAUGGUGAACUAUGCCUGGUCAGGACGAAGUCAGGGGAAACCCUGAUGGAGGUCCGUAGCGAUUCUGACGUGCAAAUCGAUCGUCGGAACUGGGUAUAGGGGCGAAAGACCAAUCGAACCACUUAGUAGCUGGUUCCUUCCGA
rnacentral:rRNA from 1 species